rfam:Cylindrobasidium torrendii FP15055 ss-10 unplaced genomic scaffold CYLTOscaffold_97, whole genome shotgun sequence.
GGGCGUUUAGCUCAGUGGUAGAGCGCCCGCUUCGCAUGCGGGAGGUCCGGGUUUCGAUCACCCGAGUGUCCA